rnacentral:rRNA from 1 species
UUACACAAAUAUGAAGGCGGGCUGGAACCUCUCGGGGUUACAGCCUUGCUGAAUUAUUCACCCUUGUCUUUUGCGUACUUCUUGUUUCCUUGGUGGGUUCGCCCACCACUAGGACAAACAUAAACCUUUUGUAAUUGCAAUCAGCGUCAGUAACAAAUUAAUAAUUACAACUUUCAACAACGGAUCUCUUGGUUCUGGCAUCGAUGAAGAACGCAGCGAAAUGCGAUAAGUAGUGUGAAUUGCAGAAUUCAGUGAAUCAUCGAAUCUUUGAACGCACAUUGCGCCCUUUGGUAUUCCAAAGGGCAUGCCUGUUCGAGCGUCAUUUGUACCCUCAAGCUUUGCUUGGUGUUGGGCGUCUUGUCUCUAGCUUUGCUGGAGACUCGCCUUAAAGUAAUUGGCAGCCGGCCUACUGGUUUCGGAGCGCAGCACAAGUCGCACUCUCUAUCAGCAAAGGUCUAGCAUCCAUUAAGCCUUUUUUCAACUUUUGACCUCGGAUCAGGUAGGGAUACCCGCU